rnacentral:rRNA from 1 species
UACAGAGGGGGCAAGCGUUAUUCGGAAUUAUUGGGCGUAAAGGGCGCGUAGGCGGCCUGGCAAGUGGAAGGUGAAAUCCCUCGGCUUAACCGAGGAACUGCCCUCCAAACUGCUCGGCUUGAGUCCGGGAGAGGUGAGUGGAAUUCCCAGUGUAGCGGUGAAAUGCGUGAAUAUUGGGAGGAACACCAGUGGCGAAGGCGGCUCACUGGACCGGAACUGACGCUGAGGCGCGAAAGCGUGGGGAGCAAACGGG